rnacentral:piRNA from 1 species
UUCAAAGACUUGAAAGCUGUGUCUGGUGGU